UGCACAGCGAAAGGGGUGGAUUUUGUGUGUUUUUAGGAGGAAGGUGUGGCAUCUUAGGUUGCAUUGUCGGGAUUAGGGGUAGAAUGAGAGGGUUGGUGAAAAGGAGAACUAGGGUUCGUAUCGAGAAUUUGGGGAUUUGGGGUCAAAAUGGGAACUUCGGGUGUAGCAUUGGGUGGUGUGGAAUUUGGUGUUGAGGUCGAAGAAUUACUGUUUCUAGGCAUUUUUAGGGCUCAAAGUUUGGGUAUGUGGGCGGAAGGUUGUUUAGUGUGCAUCAUGGAAGGUAUAGUGAAGGUUUUUGAUCGUGCAACUGAUGAGAUAAAAUAGAAUAAGAUAGCAAGGGUAAAGGUUUAAGUGGUGAUAUACUUAGGGUCUAACAUGAGGCAUGUUGGGAAUAGUUGUAGGGUGACAUGCCUCAUGUGGUUUGGUGAAAGAUGAAUGACAUGAGGCAUGUUAGGAUAAAAGGGAAAAAUGACAUGCCCCGCGUGAUUAUAGUGAGUUUUACAUGAGGUGCUACAUGAGGCAUGCGAAACCCCUUGAAACUCUCAGCAGGUUUUUCAUAUUUAGCAAUUUAAAGCGCUAAGAACAGGUUUUGAUGAUGACACUACCCCCAACAUACAUCAUGUUGAACUUAGUGCUAAAUGACCUGAUGUACAACUCAAAAAUGUGAUCCUAAACACACUUAAACCUAACCUAAGACAUAAUUUGCAUAAAAAUUUCACUCAAAAUCCAAUUAAAACCCAAUUAAUCACUAAGAACAAUUAAAAUUCAUCAAUCCACGAAACACAAACUAAAACAUUACUCAACUACUAUUCACAUUAACAGUCACACCAUAAGGAAUAACACCUAAA
rnacentral:misc_RNA from 1 species